GUAAGUGGAUCCUCAUGAUGUUCCCUUCCUUUUUUGACCACAUAGGCAUAAUAAUGAUAAUAUCGAUGCGGUAACACAUGGCAGCCGGUGCCAAAUGUAAUAUCUAAAUUACCCUGCAGUAAACGCCUCAACAUCUUGCUGAAUUUAUCUGAACUAACACCGAUCUGCAUUUCUGUCGGUGUCCAGUUUGAAAGUGCUGAACAAAGGCCUAUGUCGCCGCAGCUCGUUUGCUUGCACUUGCUUAUACAUUGAGCUUAGUGUUAAUGGAUGGCAUACCUUCACUAACGCCAUCAGAGUGCGCAGCUGAACACUAUGCUGGAAACACUCGGUUUGUUAUUUUAACUAAAACACAACCAAUCUUUGUUAAAUAUAAAUGCCAAACUUGUUUUUGCAUGGAUUACGGAACGCAGUUAGCUUUUAACAGCUUGGACCGCUAUUUAUUUUCCCGGAAUCCCGCUUAAUUGACAGGUUAAAGUUUGCUCGAAAGAGCCGCUAAACUAGCUAAGCUGCUAACAUAGUCCCAGAUGAGUUUUCCAAUGUUGUCCUCUUUAUCUGGAGAAGUAAAUUAACGGUUCCAGCGCUAUAGGAGCUGUAUCUACUACAUUUAGUUUCCGGACGAACUGGAUUACAGAUUUCCAAUGCAGCAAUUGUUUGCUUGCCGAGGAUUAUAGGCUUGAUGUGGCUUCCUUGAUCACGUAGGUCGCCAGCCUACGUAAGAAACUGGGGGAAACGUAGUGGAAUAUUUACCUUUUCUACGCCGUUGGGUGGACGGCGUUCGCGCAUGUUGGAUGCAUCUAUGUCUUGUCGUUUGUCGUUAUCCGACUGACCGGUGUUGCCCGGAGUUUGUUAGCCAGGGGAGCCAUCGUCUGCCUCUCCUCCCCCAUCGGAUAGCAGAGUCGAAGGAGCACAACAAGAGGAGCAUGGCAAUCAAUGAUGGUCGCAUGUCGUGAGCCAUGGAAGCCGAAGACAGCAUCCUCCUGCAACGCAGUCUCCACUCCCAAUGAGAAAUUGAUGAUAAAAAGAUUGUGGGGGCUGCUUUGUUAGACUUCAGUGCGGCUUUUGACGUUAUCGAUCAUAGUCUGCUGCUGGAAAAACUGACCUGCUCAAAGGGUUCCAGGACUCUGCACACCUCCCAUUCCUCUUGGGUCAGAGCACCAACAGGUGCAUUGACAAUGGCCAGGGUAGAGAUGGUGGCAUCCUUUGACUCAAGAAACCGCUUCAACAUAUAAAAUGUUGAAUUCCACUUUGUAGUGCAGUCUUGUUUAGGCCUCAGCUCAGGCAUCCCCAUCUGGCGUUGUGUAGACUUUAGUUUUUCAGCACAUACUGUGCUCCUGUGGAAGUAUUCCACGGCUGCUUUCACUUUAUCCACAGUGGGCUUCAU